rnacentral:rRNA from 1 species
UUUGAUCCUGGCUCAGGACGAACGCUGGCGGCGUGCUUAACACAUGCAAGUCGAGCGGAAAGGCCCUUCGGGGUACUCGAGCGGCGAACGGGUGAGUAACACGUGAGCAACCUGCCCUAGGCUUUGGGAUAACCCUCGGAAACGGGGGCUAAUACCGAAUAUGACCUCGCAUCGCAUGGUGUGUGGUGGAAAGUUUUUCGGCCUGGGAUGGGCUCGCGGCCUAUCAGCUUGUUGGUGGGGUGAUGGCCUACCAAGGCGACGACGGGUAGCCGGCCUGAGAGGGCGACCGGCCACACUGGGACUGAGACACGGCCCAGACUCCUACGGGAGGCAGCAGUGGGGAAUAUUGCACAAUGGGCGGAAGCCUGAUGCAGCGACGCCGCGUGAGGGAUGACGGCCUUCGGGUUGUAAACCUCUUUCAGCAGGGACGAAGCGUAAGUGACGGUACCUGCAGAAGAAGC